AAACAGAACAGAAAUGCAACGGCUUAGAGCACCCACAGAAAACUUGAUUACCUUGUCACCAUGAGUAAAAGCUAAUUCCAACUCCUGAAGAGAGCAAACCAGCUCUGAAAGAGAGUGAAAACGCAGACGAGACAGUUAUCAGAUAAUGGCUAUCUGGACGAGAGAUUCUUUCAUUUGACAGCAGUUUGGUUGUUGGGAGUUCCAGUUUGGCUUCUACAUAGUUGCUCUGUACAAAUCCUCCUCCAUAUUUUCUUAGAGAAAAUGUGUUGCCAUCCCAUCGUGAAGGAAGCUGCCCAAGAGUUUUUAACCAUUACAGCUGUGAUGAUGAAAGAGUGAAGAACCGCCUCUAAGUUAAAAAGUAGUGCACCCAGAGAUAAAGCUCAUUCUCAAUGCCCUGCCGCUGCUUCUCAUCGAUGGCCACUGCACUUCUCAGGCCAGGCACACUGAGCAUCGGUCCUGUGCCUGACACUGUGCUAUAUGCUGGUGUUGCAGCCAUGAGCAUAGACACGACAGACACGGUCCUCGCCAUCUACUGUUGAGUACUGAUUGGAACAAGAGGAUCGUCUGUAGACAGGAUAUGAUCAUCAUGGCACCUGUAUUACUGAUACUUUUGGGGGCCACUGAGAUACUGCAAGCUGACUUACUUCCUGAUGAAAAGAUUUCACUUCUCCCACCUGUCAAUUUCACCAUUAAAGUUACUGGUUUGGCUCAAGUUCUUUUACAUUGGGAACCAAAUCCUGAUCAAGAGCAAAGGAAUGUUAAUCUAGAAUAUCAAGUGAAAAUAAAUGCUCCAAAAGAAGAUGAUUAUGAAACCAGAAUCACUGAAAGCAAAUGUGUAACCAUCCUCCACAAAGGCUUUUCAGCAAGUGUGAGGACCAUCUUGCAGAACGACCACUCACUCCUGGCCAGCAGCUGGGCUUCUGCUGAACUUCAUGACCCACCAGGGUCUCCCGGAACCUCAGUUGUGAAUUUAACUUGCACCACAAACACUAUAGCAGAUAAUUAUUCACAUUUAAGGCCAUACCAAGUUUCCCUUCACUGCACCUGGCUUGUUGGCACAGAUGCCCCUGAGGACACGCAGUAUUUUCUCUACUAUAGGUAUGGCUCUUGGACUGAAGAAUGCCAAGAAUACAGCAAAGACUCACUGGGGAGAAACAUCGCAUGCUGGUUUCCCAGGACUUUUAUCCGCAGCAGAGGGCGUGACUGGCUUGCGGUGCUUGUUAACGGCUCCAGCAAGCACUCUGCCAUCAAGCCCUUUGAUCAGCUGUUUGCCCUUCACGCCAUUGAUCGAAUAAAUCCUCCACUGAAUGUCACAGCAGAGAUUGAAGGAACUCGUCUCUCUAUCCAAUGGGAGAAACCAGUGUCUGCCUUUCCAAUCCAUUGCUUUGAUUAUGAAGUAAAAAUACACAAUGCAAGGAACGGAUAUUUGCAGAUAGAAAAAAUGAUGACCAACGCAUUCAUCUCAAUAAUUGAUGAUCUUUCUAAGUAUGAUGUUCAAGUGAGAGCAGCAGUGAGCUCCAUGUGCAGAGAGGCGGGGCUCUGGAGUGAGUGGAGCCAACCUAUUUAUGUGGGAAAAGAUGAACACAAGCCCUUGAGAGAGUGGUUUCUCAUUGUGCUUAUGGCAACCAUCUGCUUCAUCUUGUUAAUUCUCUUGCUCAUCUGUAGAAUAUGUCAUUUAUGGAUCAAGUUGUUUCCACCAAUUCCAGCACCAAAAAGUAGUAUCAAAGAUCUCUUUGUAACCGCUAACUAUGAGAAAGCUGGUUCCUGUUGAGACAGAAAUUGAAGUCAUCAGUUAUAUAGAGAAGCCUGGAGUUGAGACCCUGGAGGAUUCUGUGUUUUGACUGCCACUGUGGCAUCCUCUGAUGAACUCACACACACAUGCCUCAGUGAAAAGAAUAGGGAUGCUGGUUCUUGGCUAAGAGGUGUUCAGAAUUUAUGGAAUACUCAAUUUAGCUGCGAAGCAAUACACACAGACACAUCAGUCUUAUAUCCCUUAAAAGUAUGGAUGCUUCAUCAAAAUCUCCUCACCCACAGCAGGGAAGUUGAUUCGUCCAAGCAUUUUGCCAUGUUUUUUCUCACCACUCCGAACAGGGUAGCACCUCCUUACCUGCCGAUCUUUGCAAUUUGCUUGACUUACCUCAAACUUUUCUUGCACAAGAGACAGCUUUUAAGGCUAACGUCCAGCUGUCUUUACUUCUGGCAGUGCCCGUUUGGUUGUUUAAGCUGCCAAUGGUAGCACUCAGCUACCAUCUGAGGAAGAAAGCAUUUUGUACCAGCUUGGAGUGAAUCAUGAACUUGGAUUCAAGACUAUCUUUUCUAUACCAAGUGAGAGCCACAAAUUCUUCACCCCCCUACAGUAUAGAAUGAUCUUUUUAUAGGUAGAGAGAGAGAGAGAGAGAGAGAGUGUGUGUGUGUGUGUGUGUGUGUGUGUGUGUGAGAGAGAGAGAGAGAGAGAGAGAGAGAGAGAGAGAGAGAGAGAGAGAGAGAGAGAGAGAGAAAUUAUCUCAAGCUCCAGAGUCCUGAUCCAGGAUACAUCAUUUGAAACCAACUAAUUUAAAAGCAUAAUAUAGCUAAGAUAUCACCCCAUAUUAAAAGAGAGGACAGGAUUUCGUUCAAAUAUUACAUUCUUGAAGGAAGACUUAAUAUUCUGGAAAUAUGCUGAGAAAGUCAUUGAGCAUAAUUCAAUCAUGAAAGGGAUCACUGAAUCAAGAAGGAACUUUCUGAAGAGACAUUUGCUGCCAAAGGCUUCAGAGCAACUCAAGUAAUGCCAGGUCAAUCCUAGUCUCUCAAGUUUGGAAAGGUUUCUACAAGGCCAUCCCAUCAAAUAUCCCAAUCUAUACAGAAGUUCUUCUUCCUAACAUCUUCACAUAUGAGUCUGCAUCCAGAUUGGAGGCCUUUGUGAUGGGUGAUGAACUACAGGUGGAACCAAGUACAGGUGUGUCCUGGGCAGAGAUGGGCCAGAGGAAGGAACCCAAACAGUGCUGAUUCUACAUGGCCCUGAGUCAGGAAGCUGAAGGCUGAGAAAGGAGGAGCAACACGAAGUAGCCCAUGUGUCCUCCUUGGUGGAUUGGGAACUUCUUCCUCCCUUCUUGCCUUGUGGAACCCAUAGUCAUUCUUUGGGAACCCAUAAUCAUCAUCACUUCUUCCAUGAAGCCUUCAAAAGCAGAGUUUGUUGAUCCCACCUCUGGAUUCUCAUUCUGGGCCUCAUCCAGAAUGAGAGCAUCGCCAUGUUGGAGCUACUGCAUUGCAGGAUAUACCAUUAACAGCUGGGAGGCCUCCCCUCUAGACUGCGAGUUCCAGGAGGAUGGAGCUUGUGUGAAAUAUGUCUUUUUAUCUGCAGUGUCUAGGACAGUAUCUGACCUAAGAAAAUAUAAAUGUUUCUUAAGCCCUCUGUCAGCCCUGCUAUGGCACCUUGUAUAUAGGUUAGACUGAACAGUAUUUGGCAGAGAUCCUCAAGGCCUACAAUAAUAACAUGGGGAGGAAGCUGGGUGUCUAACAACAAUGUGGUUAGAAGCAACCAGGAGACACAUGUGCCUAACCAUUGGACUACUGUGACCUGGAUGUUUUUGCUGCCAAAGUGUCUAAAUGGUUAUGUAUAAAUUGCUGUGUAAGAGGCGUUUCAGAAGUGGCUCAUUUUGAGUGGUCUAUACUGUUCUCACUAGCCUUGUCACGGCAAGUCAAAGAGUUUGAAAUUCACUUAACAGUAAACACCAUCAGCGACAGGUUGAUGUAAGGUAAAGUCAUGAUAUCGGCUCCCAUCUCUUGCCAUCUCCCACUAGGACAGGGUAGAGAGUCACUUUUUUUCCUAGAGCCUCCAUGGCCACAGGAUCAGAACAAACAUGCUUUUCCAAGAUAUCCGUUCCAAUAGGGAUUUUAGCCCAGUUUCUUUCCUUGGCAUUUGGAAUUCACUGCGUGCAGCAUGGGGGAGUGCUGGAGAGACGGGAGGGUGAAGGUCAUGUUUGCCAAUAGCCAGACCACCUGAGCCUCAUUGAAAUGCCUCAGACCUCAAGCUAUUCAUGCAGGCUGGGGAAGAAUCCAUGUGGGCAAAGAACAUCCUGAUUAAAAAUGCAAACGUUUUCAUGGUGAGACUUAUAUGUGUCAGGACCAUCUGCUGGUGGAAUUAAUAAGCCUUAGGUGCUAAUUUGUUAAAGAAAAAGUAGAUAUCUGGAAGUGAGAACAGAGAACUGAAAACAAUCUUUGAUGGCACAAGUAAAGGUGAAAAACCUAAUUAGAACAGGACUUGGUGCUAGCCUAAGGACUGUAGCUAUUCCUGCUUCUACAUCCUUCAAAUUGAGUACCAGGGUGCAAAGUUUUUGAAAACCAUUUCUUUCUUUGGAAUUUUGCAUUGUACUAAAAGACAAUUUUAUUUCCUGUUUUGUAGGUAAUAGAUGUGAAUAUAAAAUUUCAAAAUGAGAACUAUUAAACAUAAAUGACAGUGAA